rnacentral:rRNA from 1 species
GGGGUUACCUUGUUUUGACUUCACCCCAGAAUAUGAAUCCCCUACCAUUGGUAAUCGCCUCCUUACGGUUAGGCUAACUACUUCUGGUAAAGCCCACUCCCAUGGUAUGUGGGCGGUGUCAUAUAAGACCCGGGAACGUAUUCACCGCGACAUGCUGAUCACGAUUACUAGCGAUUUCGAGCUUCAGUCGAGUUGCAGACUGCGAUCCGGACCCCUACAGUCAGGUUCUGGGAUUGGCUCCCCCUCGCGGGUUGGCGACCACUAUCGACCAUUACUGAAGUGUGAAGCCCUACCCUUAAGAGGCCAUGACAUAAUACCUUCCUCGUUUGUCACCGGCAGUCUCACCUAAAGGUACCCUUUCGUAGCAUAAUAUAGCAGGGUUGCUCGUUUGCGGACUUAACCAACAUCUCACGACACGAGCUGACGACAGCCGUACAACUUUUUGUUCCGGUUCUCUUACGGGCACUCCCCAAAUCUCUUCGGGAUUCCAGACAUCAAGGAGUAGUGGAGGUUUUUCGCGUUGCGCUCCGGUCGUCCACAGCAUCCUCUUCCACCGCUUGUGCAGGUCCCGUCCAUUCCUUUGAGUUUAAUCUUUUUGACAACCUCCCCAGGCGUUCAACUACCUGAUCGCUGCUACCAGGCCCGAGAGCCCCAACAGCUUUAAGAUUGACAUGUUUAGGGCGUGAGACUACCAGGGUAUCUGUCUGUUGCUCCCCGCGCUUUCGUGCAUGGGCGUCAGUGUUAUCCGGAGCUGCGCUUGUAAUCGUCACCUGCACUGUCUACGCGUUUCGCCGCUACGCGUUGCCUCCUCGGCACUCGCUCCGGUAGUUAAAAAUGCAGUUCCAAAGUUAAGCUGCUGGGAUUCCCUGCUGCCUUUCUUUCCAGGUGCCUGCUUGCUUUACGCCCACGUGAUUCGUUAACAACUUGCACCCUACGUAUUACCAUGGCUGCUGUGGCAUGAUUAUGGUGCCGACUGCACAGGCUGCAAUCGGUGCACCAGGGUGAAGUAUCGUGCCGUUUCUUUCCUGCCAAAAGUGCUUUACAACCGAGGCCUUCAUCGCACACGCGGGGAUGGCCUGGAUCGGAAGUUUCCCCGGCUAUCCAUUCCCACCGCCUCCGGCGGGUCUGGGCGUGUCUCAGUCCCAGUGUGGCUGGUCGUCCCUCUCGAGCAGUUGGAUCGUCGUCUUUUUGGUGAGCCGUUACCCCAUAACUAGCUAAUCCGAUAUCGGCCGCUCAUGAUUACUGCGAGGCCCGAGGUCCCCCCGCUUUCCCGAAGAAUAAUACGGUAAUGGCUACGCUUUCGCGUAGUUAUCCCCGCUACUAGGCACGUUCCGAUACAUUACUACCCGUUCGCCACUCGCCUGGGCCGGAGAGUCCGUGCCUUGCCGUUCGACUUGCAUGUGUAAAAGCAUCCGCCAGCGUUGACCGAGCCGGAUCAAACC